rnacentral:tRNA from 1 species
GACUCCGUAGUGAAGUUCAUAGUGAGUUGCAAGCUCAUUGAUGCACACUGAUCGUGUGUCGGGGUCU